AAUAGGACGGCACAAAGAGUUACUAAUCAUAAAGAACAUAGAACAAGAUAAAGAGUUUCUUGAGGACCUGUAAAAAUGCCACACUGAAAUAAAUUAUAUUCAGUUCUGCACAUAAAUAUACCACAGGGGUAAACUAUCUUUAAGAUUAUUGUCAUCAUAAUUUUUUUCAUAAUCAGGAGUUUGAAAUACAUCCACCUGGCAGGCUGCGCGUAACCCUAGCACUGUGUCUGCAGACUGACAUCAUCACACAUGGAGGAGGCCGGGUUUAAAUAUUUUGACCACUUUGAAAGCCAACAAAUAACAUUUUGAUGUCUUUCCCAUAUUUCUUUCUUCAUUGUCUGUUUCACAUAUGGCCUUUUUUAGGAAUUAUGAGCUAAAGAAGCAGCAACCAGACAGAGCUUUGCACAUGCUGCACAGGUUGCUGGAGAGUGAGAUGUUUUUUUUAGACGUACGGCCGCAACCACGUGUAUAAGUACCCCCAAAGCCUUAAAAUAAUUCAUCUUUUAGUGCCGUAGCAUGUUUUUUUCUGCUCAAAACCUUUAUCUUUAUUAAAUUUAUUCAGUGAUAUUAAGAAAUAACACAGUCACUGUUGGCAAUAUUUCUACAACUCCCUUUUGCCAGUAGGAGAAUAUUUAGUCCUCUCCUGUAACAUAUCACAGAAUUGGGACAUCAGCGAGAGAUCUCUGACCAAUUCUCUUUGAUUAAUCUCUCUCUGGGUCAUCCAGAGUCCCAGGUCCUCUCUGAUGAUCUAUUCUUUUCUGCUUAGCUCAUUGGUUUUCAAGGGACUUUAGGUCUGUGUCCAUUGAAGAAGGUUGACUUUAAAUCUGGUAAACCAUUUCUCUGUUGAUUCGACCAUUUGUUUUGGAUACACUUUUGAUAAACCAGUUUCCUACAAGAGCCGAAUAGAUUUUUAUUUAAAAUCUUCUGGCCCACAGCAGCACAGAUACCCUACCAUACUUAAGGACUGGACCUGUGUUGCUUUUGCUCAUAUUGUUUUUUUUUUUUUUUUGUUUCAUGACAAACCCAGUUGGAGAAUUAGUUGCAGCAAAGCUCAACGUUAGCCCCAUCGGAUCACAUGCUUCCAGUCCCAGUAGCAUUUAGCAACUGCUAUAAGAAAAGGCUUUUUUCUGGCAUCACUCCCAAACAACCUGUUGACAUGUAGUUAGGGUCUAACUGGUUGUUAUGGAAACCUAGCAACCCUAAGAUGCCACCCUUUGCUGCAGUUCUCUAACAAUGAGUGGUGACAACAUAAAUAUGGGUAAACAUCCAGAGUCUAGCCAAUGGGUAAAAGAAAUGGACUUCUGUGUCUUAUUUAUAGCCCAGGAUAACAGAAGUGAUUCUGUUCUCUCCCCCUGCUGCUGAUCCUCUCCUGCCCUCCAGCUCCUCUCCCAGAAGCUUCCCCUGCUGACAGGCUGUGCAGUGCUAGAGGAGACAGGAAACUUCUACCAAGCCUGGCCGAGUCAGGACUUAUCACCCUGUUUGUACCAUGGUUGUGUUAAAUGUGUAUUUUCAAUUAAAUUGAAUACCUCUGUAACUCUUUGAGCGUACCCUCCUUGGUAUAGACAAUGGUUUAGAGAGGCCUUUGCCAGACAGAUCCACUGUUAGUGCUCAACACCUAUUAUAAUCUAUUACUGGUGAUUCUGAUGAUGAAAGCUAGCGGAAUAUCCUGGUGGCUCCAAAAAUGUGGGCUUCCCUUGAUUUUCUCUCUCUUAAUCACCCAUCUUAGAUUAAAACAGAUCAUAAAAGUUUGAUUUAAAUUCAGAAAAUAGCCUAUUUUUUCACCUAAGAAUCAAGCAGAUUCAAUACAAUAAUAAUACAUUUUAUUUGAAGGCACCUUUCAAAUCACUCAAGGUCACUGGGCAAAAAAGAUGCAAGAACAAUAAAAGAGAUAAACAACAAAACAACAAAGGAGCAAAUAACAAAUCAAAACAAUUAUUGGAAUAAUAAAUAAUGAGAAUAAACAGAAGGAGCAACUUUAAAGAAGUGAGUUUUGAGAUGAGUUUUAAAUAAGGACAGAGAAUCAGAGUCCAAAGAGUCCAGAGAGUUCCAAAGAUGGGAGGCUGUCAAGAAAACGCUAUGGACCCCAUGGUUGUGAAGUGGGCAGAAGGAGUAAGGAUGAGGAAGAGCGAAUAAUUUGGAAGGGUGUGUAAUAACAAAUAAGAUCAGUGAGGUAAGGAGGUGCCAAGUUGUUGAGAGCUUUGAAAGCAAGGAGGGGAAUCUUGUACUCAAAUGGGGUAUUUGAUGGGUAACCAGUGAAGAUGUUUAAGGAUAGCAGUGAUUUGUUGUAUGGAGGGGGUUCUAGUGAUGAUCCGAGUGACUGUGUUCUCAAGCUGAAAUGUAUGAAUAAUUUUGAGAGGAAGACCUGAAAGAAGGGAGUUAUCUAACUGAGAAGUGACAAGUGCAUUGAUGAGGAUGGCUGUGCUGGUGGGUGUGAGAGAUAGAGGGAGAUGAUUGAUGUUUUGAAGGUUGAAAUAUGCAGACCGAGUAAUGUUAUUGACGUGAUUUCAAAGAUAAAGUGCUUUCAAGGACGACACCCAGGCUUUUAAAACAAGUGCAACUGAACAAAAAACAAAUUUAACACAAAUAAAUCAGUAUUUUUUAUUGAUUUGGUUUCUUGUUGUGAAAUAGGAUGAAUAAAAUCAAAUUAAUAAAAAUAAUAAUCAUUUUAUAAUUUUUUACUAUUAGUUAAUAAAAUAAAAAAUAGUGAACAUGAUGCAGCUUUCUGUCCUGCUGUUCUCUGUUAUGUAAUUCAAUCCUGGACUGAGCCAAUCAAAUCACGU